AUUGAACGCUGGCGGCAUGCCUUACACAUGCAAGUCGAACGGUAACAGGUCUUCGGAUGCUGACGAGUGGCGAACGGGCGAGCAAUACAUCGGAACGUGCCCGAUCGUGGGGGAUAACGGAGCGAAAGCUUUGCUAAUACCGCAUAAGAUCCACGGAUGAAAGCAAGGGACCGCAAGGCCUUGCGCGGACGGAGCGGCCGAUGGCAGAUUAGGUAGUUGGUGGGAUAAAAGCUUACCAAGCCGACGAUCUGUAGCUGGUCUGAGAGGACGACCAGCCACACUGGGACUGAGACACGGCCCAGACUCCUACGGGAGGCAGCAGUGGGGAAUUUUGGACAAUGGGCGAAAGCCUGAUCCAGCCAUGCCGCGUGCAGGAUGAAGGCCUUCGGGUUGUAAACUGCUUUUGUACGAAACGAAAAGACUCUUUCUAAUAAAGAGGGUCCAUGACGGUACCGUAAGAAUAAGCACCGGCUAACUACGUGCCAGCAGCCGCGGUAAUAC
rnacentral:rRNA from 1 species